rnacentral:rRNA from 1 species
UCCUUAUCGGGGCUUUCCUUCGGGACAGGGGAGACAGGUGGUGCAUGGUUGUCGUCAGCUCGUGUCGUGAGAUGUUGGGUUAAGUCCCGCAACGAGCGCAACCCCUAUCUUUAGUAGCCAGCGGCCAGGCCGGGCACUCUAGAGAGACUGCCAGGGAUAACCUGGAGGAAGGUGGGGAUGACGUCAAAUCAUCAUGCCCCUUAUGAGCAGGGCUACACACGUGCUACAAUGGCGUAAACAAAGGGAGGCAGAGCCGCGAGGCCGAGCAAAUCUCAAAAAUAACGUCUCAGUUCGGAUUGUAGUCUGCAACUCGACUACAUGAAGCUGGAAUCGCUAGUAAUCGCGAAUCAGAAUGUCGCGGUGAAUACGUUCCCGGGUCUUGUACACACCGA